UAGCAGAACCCAUAUAAAGCGCAUCCCCGGAGAUACGCCUUUCACACGUGGCAUCCGACUUAGCAUAAACCCAAGUAAAGCGCUUCCCUGGGGAUGCGCCUUUGUGUCACCUCACCCGAAAGGGUGCUACUUCAGGAAAUAUUGGUCAACGGGUGUUAGAACGGGAGAAUUUAAAAAAAAAACGGGUCAAUUAGGUCAAUCAGCCCUUGCAGCUAGAUGGGAGCCUUUCUGCUUAGUGGAGGAACCAAAGGAAAACGAUACAGUUUACCUAAUUCAAGGAUAAUGAUGCAUCAACCUCUUGGUGGAGCUCAAGGAGGUCAAACUGAUAUCGACAUUCAGGUGUGGUUUUUUUCUCUGUAA